rnacentral:rRNA from 1 species
GACGAACGCUGGCGGCGCGCUUAACACAUGCAAGUCGAACGGAAAGGCCUGCUUUCCCUUGUGGAUUGCGGGUACUCGAGUGGCGAACGGGUGAGUAACACGUGAGUGAUCUGCCCCCAACUUGGGUAUAAGCCUGGGAAACUGGGUCUAAUUCCCGAUAGGACUGCAGGGUGGUGCCUGUGGUGGAAAACGAUUUUCUAGUGGUUGGGGAUGAGCUCGCGGCCUAUCAGCUUGUUGGUGGGGUAAUGGCCUACCAAGGCGGCGACGGGUAGCCGGCCUGAGAGGGUGGACAGCCACAUUGGGACUGGGAUACGGCCCAGACUCCUACGGGAGGCAGCAGUGGGGAAUAUUGCACCAUGGGCGGAAGCCUGAUGCAGCGACGCCGCGUGGGGGAUGACGGCCUUCGGGUUGUAAACUCCUUUCGACCGCGAGGAAGCCACCUGGUUGGAAGGGUGGUGACGGUAGUGGUAGAAGAAGCACCGGCUAACUACGUG